CCUACGGGAGGCAGCAGUGAGGAAUAUUGGUCAAUGGACGAGAGUCUGAACCAGCCAAGUAGCGUGAAGGAUGACUGCCCUAUGGGUUGUAAACUUCUUUUAUAUGGGAAUAAAACGUUCCACGUGUGGGAUUUUGUAUGUACCAUAUGAAUAAGGAUCGGCUAACUCCGUGCCAGCAGCCGCGGUAAUACGGAGGAUCCGAGCGUUAUCCGGAUUUAUUGGGUUUAAAGGGAGCGUAGGUGGAUUGUUAAGUCAGUUGUGAAAGUUUGCGGCUCAACCGGAAAAUUGCAGUUGAAACUGGCAGUCUUGAGUACAGUAGAGGUGGGCGGAAUUCGUGGUGUAGCGGUGAAAUGCUUAGAUAUCACGAAGAACUCCGAGUGCGAAGGCAGUUCACUGGACUGCAACUGACACUGAGGCUCGAAAGUGUGGGUAUCAAACAGGAUUAGAUACCCGAGUAGUC
rnacentral:rRNA from 1 species